GGUUAAGCGACUAAGCGUACACGGUGGAUGCCCUGGCAGUCAGAGGCGAUGAAGGACGUGCUAAUCUGCGAUAAGCGUCGGUGAGGUGAUAUGAACCGUUAUAACCGGCGAUUUCCGAAUGGGGAAACCCAGUGUGUUUCGACACACUAUCAUUAACUGAAUCCAUAGGUUAAUGAGGCGAACCGGGGGAACUGAAACAUCUAAGUACCCCGAGGAAAAGAAAUCAACCGAGAUUCCCCCAGUAGCGGCGAGCGAACGGGGAGGAGCCCAGAGCCUGAAUCAGUGUGUGUGUUAGUGGAAGCGUCUGGAAAGGCGCGCGAUACAGGGUGACAGCCCCGUACACAAAAAUGCACAUAUUGUGAGCUCGAUGAGUAGGGCGGGACACGUGGUAUCCUGUCUGAAUAUGGGGGGACCAUCCUCCAAGGCUAAAUACUCCUGACUGACCGAUAGUGAACCAGUACCGUGAGGGAAAGGCGAAAAGAACCCCGGCGAGGGGAGUGAAAAAGAACCUGAAACCGUGUACGUACAAGCAGUGGGAGCCUCUUAAUGGGGUGACUGCGUACCUUUUGUAUAAUGGGUCAGCGACUUAUAUUCUGUAGCAAGGUUAACCGAAUAGGGGAGCCGAAGGGAAACCGAGUCUUAACUGGGCGUUAAGUUGCAGGGUAUAGACCCGAAACCCGGUGAUCUAGCCAUGGGCAGGUUGAAGGUUGGGUAACACUAACUGGAGGACCGAACCGACUAAUGUUGAAAAAUUAGCGGAUGACUUGUGGCUGGGGGUGAAAGGCCAAUCAAACCGGGAGAUAGCUGGUUCUCCCCGAAAGCUAUUUAGGUAGCGCCUCGUGAAUUCAUCUCCGGGGGUAGAGCACUGUUUCGGCAAGGGGGUCAUCCCGACUUACCAACCCGAUGCAAACUGCGAAUACCGGAGAAUGUUAUCACGGGAGACACACGGCGGGUGCUAACGUCCGUCGUGAAGAGGGAAACAACCCAGACCGCCAGCUAAGGUCCCAAAGUCAUGGUUAAGUGGGAAACGAUGUGGGAAGGCCCAGACAGCCAGGAUGUUGGCUUAGAAGCAGCCAUCAUUUAAAGAAAGCGUAAUAGCUCACUGGUCGAGUCGGCCUGCGCGGAAGAUGUAACGGGGCUAAACCAUGCACCGAAGCUGCGGCAGCGACACUAUGUGUUGUUGGGUAGGGGAGCGUUCUGUAAGCCUGUGAAGGUGGCCUGUGAGGGUUGCUGGAGGUAUCAGAAGUGCGAAUGCUGACAUAAGUAACGAUAAAGCGGGUGAAAAGCCCGCUCGCCGGAAGACCAAGGGUUCCUGUCCAACGUUAAUCGGGGCAGGGUGAGUCGACCCCUAAGGCGAGGCCGAAAGGCGUAGUCGAUGGGAAACAGGUUAAUAUUCCUGUACUUGGUGUUACUGCGAAGGGGGGACGGAGAAGGCUAUGUUGGCCGGGCGACGGUUGUCCCGGUUUAAGCGUGUAGGCUGGUUUUCCAGGCAAAUCCGGAAAACCAAGGCUGAGGCGUGAUGACGAGGCACUACGGUGCUGAAGCGACAAAUGCCCUGCUUCCAGGAAAAGCCUCUAAGCAUCAGGUAACAUCAAAUCGUACCCCAAACCGACACAGGUGGUCAGGUAGAGAAUACCAAGGCGCUUGAGAGAACUCGGGUGAAGGAACUAGGCAAAAUGGUGCCGUAACUUCGGGAGAAGGCACGCUGAUAUGUAGGUGAAGCGACUUGCUCGUGGAGCUGAAAUCAGUCGAAGAUACCAGCUGGCUGCAACUGUUUAUUAAAAACACAGCACUGUGCAAACACGAAAGUGGACGUAUACGGUGUGACGCCUGCCCGGUGCCGGAAGGUUAAUUGAUGGGGUUAGCGGUAACGCGAAGCUCUUGAUCGAAGCCCCGGUAAACGGCGGCCGUAACUAUAACGGUCCUAAGGUAGCGAAAUUCCUUGUCGGGUAAGUUCCGACCUGCACGAAUGGCGUAAUGAUGGCCAGGCUGUCUCCACCCGAGACUCAGUGAAAUUGAACUCGCUGUGAAGAUGCAGUGUACCCGCGGCAAGACGGAAAGACCCCGUGAACCUUUACUAUAGCUUGACACUGAACAUUGAGCCUUGAUGUGUAGGAUAGGUGGGAGGCUUUGAAGUGUGGACGCCAGUCUGCAUGGAGCCGACCUUGAAAUACCACCCUUUAAUGUUUGAUGUUCUAACGUUGGCCCGUAAUCCGGGUUGCGGACAGUGUCUGGUGGGUAGUUUGACUGGGGCGGUCUCCUCCUAAAGAGUAACGGAGGAGCACGAAGGUUGGCUAAUCCUGGUCGGACAUCAGGAGGUUAGUGCAAUGGCAUAAGCCAGCUUGACUGCGAGCGUGACGGCGCGAGCAGGUGCGAAAGCAGGUCAUAGUGAUCCGGUGGUUCUGAAUGGAAGGGCCAUCGCUCAACGGAUAAAAGGUACUCCGGGGAUAACAGGCUGAUACCGCCCAAGAGUUCAUAUCGACGGCGGUGUUUGGCACCUCGAUGUCGGCUCAUCACAUCCUGGGGCUGAAGUAGGUCCCAAGGGUAUGGCUGUUCGCCAUUUAAAGUGGUACGCGAGCUGGGUUUAGAACGUCGUGAGACAGUUCGGUCCCUAUCUGCCGUGGGCGCUGGAGAACUGAGGGGGGCUGCUCCUAGUACGAGAGGACCGGAGUGGACGCAUCACUGGUGUUCGGGUUGUCAUGCCAAUGGCACUGCCCGGUAGCUAAAUGCGGAAGAGAUAAGUGCUGAAAGCAUCUAAGCACGAAACUUGCCCCGAGAUGAGUUCUCCCUGAGACUUAGAGUCUCCUGAAGGAACGUUGAAGACGACGACGUUGAUAGGCCG
rnacentral:rRNA from 1 species